CCCCGCCCGCACCGGCUGGGGUGACGCAGGCCUGCGGAGCCGAGCGCCCGGGGAGGGCGUGGUGACGUCACCACGCCGGGUCAGGGCCCCGGCGAGGCUCGGAGCCCACGGUCGCUAUAGCAAUCGGGACUGCUACCUGGCCGCUCUAGGGCUCAGUCUACCUGAGGCCUGAGGCUGGAGCCGGGAGGGAGGCCUGGAGGGCUUCCCGCUCUCACGUCUCACGCGGCGUGCGGGCAAGAAGGUGCGCGUCUGGAGUCGGUGGCGGCUAACGGCGGGCAGGUUGUAAGGGGGGUUCCCGCGGGUCCACCGCCGGCACGGGGCUGCCUCCAGGCCGCGGCGGCGCGCCCUCAGCAAGAACCGCGCCCUACGGUCCUGGGGCGCUUGACGUGCGCAGUCCGCAGGCAUUGCUUACUGAACCUUGGAGCCAACCCCCUAAAGGAACCAACUGCAGGUACAUGAAAGGACGGACACAAGAAUGCUCCUGGUAGUGCUGUCUGCAAGCACAAAGAGCUGGCAGUGACCCACAUAGCCCCGGGCGUUGUGGGUGUCAUAGGACGGGCUGAACACGGAAUGGACCCCAGCUUCCUCCAUCAACACGGAUGGCUCUCAGAAACAUACAGUGGCCAAAAAAGAAAGUUUCAGGAAACGGAUUCCUUGCAGCCUGCACUCAGCGUGAAGGAUUUCUCCAGAACCGGUUCCUCCCAUGCAGCAGCUCCUGCCUUCAUACAGGAGAGGGGACCAUAAAAAUAGAUGAAAGCUAGGAGCUCAGUGCAGUCAUUUGGGAAACAAUUUGGGCCUUUCAGAAAUUAAUGUUAUUUAAAGAUGCAGAUUCAUCCACCCCAGUGGCCUCCUGGGAGUGCUUCCCGAACCAUCUGGUUCAAUCGGCUCAUUUUCUUUCCCCUAAUCCUCCUGGCUCUCGUGUGUGUAUGUACAGGGAAGGCUCCUGGGGAAUUCACAGCAUGAAUAAAAAGCAAAGAGCUUUCUCUUUCA